UGCUCUGCCCGGAAUCACAUGCUUCCAAGUGAAUAUCGCCUUUCUUAAGGGACAAAGUCACAUGGAGAAUAGGGGCACUAUUUCUCCAAAGUCCAACACCGUACCUGAAUCUUUUCAAGAUGAUGGGACUGUAAUCCAGAUAAAUCUUGGCAUUCAAUUACACAUUGGCUGCUUUUUUUUUCCCCUUUGCAAAGGGCUCUUGAAAAAUCUAGCAGAGAGCUGCUCCCGUUUAUUUUAAUUCUACUUGGAAGUCCACAAUCUGCUUCAUAGUGGUCUCCUCGCCAAGAGAAUCGGAAAACUCUUGGGACCUGAAGAGGAAGGAUUCCUGUCCUGUCUACUAAGAAAUGUUAAGUCAAUGUCACAAUUGUCACCUCUUCAGAGCCGUGAGGUUUGUUUGUUGUUUUGUACUGGACUAUGUUCUUCUAAGCAUCAAAAUGCAACCUCUCGAUUCUGGUCCUGAUGGUUCUCUAGACUCCUGCCUGGCUUGCCACUUGCUCUUCUUGUCUUGCCUACACUGAGUCAUGUUGCAGUUUCCCUUCUGGCUCCCAGCCUUACACUAACUCUGGAACACUCAGAGCUGAUAGGCCAGCCCUGCUAGGGAGACAGAGGACUCCCUGGCCUGCAUGAGACGUGCUCAUCUCAUUCUGACUCCUCCUUGCUGCCUGGCUCUCCUGUUCUCUGGCCCAACUCUCCUUCCUGUGAUCUGACCAGGUUCUAGGCGAGGCAGUAGCAUAGGAAGGAUCCAUUCAUAUCUCCAUCUGUGUUCAGCAGGACAGAAAGUUAGUCCCUAUCCUGUUCUUGAUGUUCUCUGCAAAAGAGAAUAGAAACACUAUCCCUAUAAAAUCUUCGUGAGGCCUAUACUAGCCUGUCCCACCUGGACCCCUCUCCUAUGCAAAUGACUCUCUAGAAUAAGAGAAGAGGAGGAGAAAAUGAUAGACCAUCCAAGGGAAAUAUGCAUAAAGAUUACCUCCUCCAGUGGCUAACAACUCACAUGAAUCCCAGAUCAAGGAAGAAGAGACUCCGUAAUGACAGCUCACUUGCCUUCUUUCUCCCCCAAAUCUCUAUCUUUACAAGGCCAUCCUGUCAAAGCCCAAGUCCAUCAGACCUGUGUUGGAAUCACAUCUUUGAAGUGAGCAUCCUGCUGUGUCUCAUGAUCCUCCCUGUGUGUAAUUGCUCUAAGAACCAGGUAGCUGAUGCACAGAAGCUUCAGCCCAGGGUCUGAUGGUAGUCGUGUUACUUCUGUCAUUUUCAUCAGGAGUAACAUCUUCUGUCCACUGGCUAAGAAAGCUUUUAAUAGACACACUGCUGACUGAGAAUUUUCCUCCCAUUGUAGUUCAUUUCAUUCCCCAGAAAAUUUCUCAACCCUUCCUGAUUCUGUUGGAACAUGUGUGAAAUUCAUUACUUCACAGACUCGGAGUCUUCCUGCCUCGAAGCCAUUCCAUAGCUGUGCCAAAACACACGAGUCUGCUGACAACAUAUUACUGCAUCUAUGAAACGGAGACGGGGCAGCCUGACCCAUGCUUCAGGGCAGAGUGUGUGUGCUUAUGAACAGAAUCACCUUCAACCCAGAUACAAUCUUUAUUGUUAUGACUUAUCUCUGCUUCUUCCUGAGUACUGGCAAGAUGGACCAGUCCCUAG
rnacentral:lncRNA from 1 species